rnacentral:rRNA from 1 species
GUGCCAGCCGCCGCGGUAAUACAGAGACUGCAAGCGUUGUUCGGAUUCAUUGGGCGUAAAGGGUGCGCAGGCGGUCCGGUAAGUCGGAUGUGAAAUCUCGAGGCCUAACCUCGAUUGGUCAUUCGAAACUGUCGGACUUGAGGACUGGAGAGGAGACUGGAAUGGUCGGUGUAGCGGUGAAAUGCGUAGAGAUCGACCAGAACACCGGUGGCGAAGGCGGGUCUCUGGACAGUUCCUGACGCUCAGGCACGAAAGCUAGGGGAGCAAACGGGAUUAGAAACCCCUGUAGUCC